rnacentral:rRNA from 1 species
CCUACGGGGGGCAGCAGUGAGGAAUAUUGGUCAAUGGUCGUGAGCCUGAACCAGCCAAGUAGCGUGCGGGAAGACGGCCCUAUGGAUUGUAAACUGCUUUUGUCCGGGAAUAAAAGGCGUCACGUGUGGUGUUUUGUAGGUACCCGAUGAAAAAGCACCGGCUAAUUCCGUGCCAGCAGCCGCGGUAAUACGGAGGAUGCGAGCGUUAUCCGGAUUUAUUGGGUUUAAAGGGUGCGUAGGCGGAAGUUUAAGGCGGCGGGAAAAUUGGGGGGCUCAACAUGGUCAAGCCGUGGAAACUGGAUUGCGUGAGUGAGCGAGAAGUAUGCGGAAUGCGUGGUGUAGCGGUGAAAUGCAUAGAUAUCACGAAGAACUCCGAUUGCGAAGGCAGCAUACGGGCGCGCUACUGACGCUCAGGCACGAAGGUGUGGGUAUCGAACAGGAUUAGAUACCCUAGUAGUC